rnacentral:lncRNA from 1 species
AGAUGGCUUCAGAUGACAAGUAGCUAGUACUUGCUACGUAGAGUGCGCGCGCUAAAGCACACAAGGAUAAUGCUAGAUCUGUUUUCUAUAUGUGCACUUUCCACUUUGUAUCCAAGGUUUUGGAUGAAAGUGCGCAUGGAGGUACCAUCAUUUGAUUGACUGCGUGAGUUACUGGUGCUCCGUUAGCAAGAGCCUAGAGAGUCGGAAGAUUAGUCCUCCGUGGAUUUUGAAGAUAAACUUGGGAAGCAGAAAGUAAUUUUUUUUUACAGAGAAAGUAAUCAAUUGUAUAGUUUGGCCAAGGCAGCUGAGUUGUUGCAGGGGACGGACAUGCGCGGGCAGAGGGAGGCUAGUGCGGCCGCGGAGUAAAUUUCAGAUUCCACUCAUCUCUGUGAGCAGGGAUGUAAACGGGCAGCCGGUAGGGCUCCCGUUUAGCACCAACACAUAAGCAGCCAAUUUAGCACCAACAUAAGCCAAAAGACAGAAUUAAAGGAAAAAAAACUGCGAAGGAAAAAAAUUCAAACGGGCCUUGCGGCGCCGUUUAGAGCGCCAUUUACAUCCUUAUCCGUGAGGGUUCGACGAUUUUCUUUUUGGAAAACACCCACUCGAUGUUUAAUUCGUUGCGCAA